GGUGAACGCUGGCGGCGUGCUUAAGACAUGCAAGUCGAACGGCAGUCUUCGGACUGUAGUGGCGCACGGGUGAGUAACGCGUAACUGACCUACCCCAAAGUCGCGGAUAACGAUUCGAAAGAAUCGCUAAUACGUGAUGUGCUGUCAGAUUGUGUUCUGCCAGUAAAGAUUGAUUGCUUUGGGAUGGGGUUGCGUUCCAUCAGCGAGUUGGUGUGGUAAAGGCCCACCAAGGCGACGACGGAUAGCCGGCCUGGGAGGGUGGCCGGCCACAGGAGCACUGAGACACGGGUCCCACUCCUACAGGAGGCAGCAGUUAGGAAUCUUCCACAAUGGGCGAAAGCCUGAUGGAGCGACGCCGCGUGAGGGAUGAAGGUCUUCGGAUCGUAAACCUCUGAAUCAGGGACGAAAGACACUUCGGUGGGAUGACGGUACCUGAGUAAUAGCACCGGCUAACUCCGUGCCAGCCGCCGCAGUAAUAC
rnacentral:rRNA from 1 species